rnacentral:rRNA from 1 species
AUUGUUGGUUUCUCCCUUCUGACGAACCAUGAUGUCAUUUAUUUGGUGUUGUGGGGAAUCAGGACUGUUACUUUGAAAAAAUCAGAGUGUUUAAAGCAGGCUCACGCUUGAAUACAUUAGCAUGGAAUAAUGAAAUAGGACGUUUGAUUCUAUUUUGUUGGUUUCUAGGAUCGACGUAAUGAUUAAUAGGGAUAGUUGGGGGCAUUAGUAUUCAAUUGUCAGAGGUGAAAUUCUUGGAUUUAUUGAAGACUAACUACUGCGAAAGCAUUUGCCAAGGAUGUUUUCAUUAAUCAAGAACGAAAGUUAGGGGAUCGAAGACGAUCAGAUACCGUCGUAGUCUUAACCAUAAACUAUGCCGACUAGGGAUCGGAUGAUGUUAAUUUUUUAAUGACUCAUUCGGCGCCUUACG